rnacentral:rRNA from 1 species
AACGAACGCUGGCGGCAUGCCUAACACAUGCAAGUCGAACGAGACCUUCGGGUCUAGUGGCGCACGGGUGCGUAACGCGUGGGAAUCUGCCCUUGGGUUCGGGAUAACAGUUGGAAACGACUGCUAAUACCGGAUGAUGUCUUCGGACCAAAGAUUUAUCGCCCAGGGAUGAGCCCGCGUCGGAUUAGCUAGUUGGUGAGGUAAAGGCUCACCAAGGCGACGAUCCGUAGCUGGUCUGAGAGGAUGAUCAGCCACACUGGGACUGAGACACGGCCCAGACUCCUACGGGAGGCAGCAGUGGGGAAUAUUGGACAAUGGGCGAAAGCCUGAUCCAGCAAUGCCGCGUGAGUGAUGAAGGCCUUAGGGUUGUAAAGCUCCUUUACCCGGGAUGAUAAUGACAGUACCGGGAGAAUAAGCCCCGGCUAACUCCGUGCCAGCAGCCGCGGUAAUAC